rnacentral:rRNA from 1 species
UACAGAGGGUGCGAGCGUUGUUCGGAAUUACUGGGCGUAAAGCGCGCGCAGGCGGCUCUUUAAGUCUGAUGGUCAAAUGCCGGAGCUCAACCCCGUGCCCGCCAGGGAUACUGGAGAGCUGGAGACACGUAGAGGCAAGCGGAAUUCCGGGUGUAGCGGUGGAAUGCGUAGAGAUCCGGAAGAACACCGGAGGCGAAGGCGGCUUGCUGGGCGUAGUCUGACGCUGAGGCGCGAAAGCGUGGGGAGCGAACAGG